UGCGUAGGCGGGUCUUUAAGUCAGGGGUGAAAUCCUGGAGCUCAACUCCAGAACUGCCUUUGAUACUGAGGAUCUUGAGUACGGGAGAGGUGAGUGGAACUGCGAGUGUAGAGGUGAAAUUCGUAGAUAUUCGCAAGAACACCAGUGGCGAAGGCGGCUCACUGGCCCGUAACUGACGCUGAGGCACGAAAGCGUGGGGAGCAAACA
rnacentral:rRNA from 1 species